rnacentral:lncRNA from 1 species
UCCUAUGUUCUAUGAUUUACAAUCCUCUACAAUAUUUCACCCUCAAAUGAUUUCAUCAAGUUAUCUAACCUAUCAUCAUCACUUUCCUCACUUGGUGAUUCUUUCAUUAAUCACAUGAGAAGAUCACCAUUUAUUUCCAACACUUCCAUCUCACUCACCCCACCAUGAGAAGCCAUGGUUUUUGUACAAUAAUACAAAGAAUAGAG